rnacentral:rRNA from 1 species
UAUUGGUCAAUAGCCUGACGGCUGAACCAGCAACUUGGAGGAAUGUAUAGUGAGAACUAAUUGCACAAUAAUUAUUUGGUGCAAUAUCGACUCUGUUGAAUAAAAUUCUGGGUGGAAUUAUGAUAAUGACAUUGUCUGCCCAUGUGUCUUGACCAAAUUACGUGCCAGCAGUCGCGGUAAUACGUAGAAGACUAGUGUUAUUCAUCUUUAAUAGGUUUAAAGGGUACCUAGACAGUAAAUAAAGCCAUAGAAGGGACUAGUUUGCUAGAGUUACUUAUGAGGGGGUUGAAAUGUACUAGUGGUGUAGAGAUAAAAUUUGUUGAUACCUUUUUCCUAGAGAAGACAUAUGGCACAGAUAUAGGCGAAAGCGUCUCCUUAUGUGAUAACUGACGUUGAGGGACGAAGGCUUCUGGUAACAAACAGGAUUAGAGACCCUGGUAGUCGGAGCAGAAAAUGAUGAGUGUCAUAGCAGUGAGGAAUAUUGGUCUAUAAAUGAAAGUGUAAGCAUUCCACCUCAAGAGUA